GACGAACGCUGGCGGCGUGCCUAAUACAUGCAAGUCGAGCGAAUGACGAGAAGCUUGCUUCUCUGAUUUAGCGGCGGACGGGCGAGUAACACGUUGGCAACCUGCCCUACAGAUCGGGAUAACGCAGGGAAACCUGGGCUAAUACCGGAUAAUCCUUCGAAUCACAUGUUUUGAUGUCGAAAGGCGCUUCGGCGUCACCGUAGGUUGGGCGCGCGGUGCAUUAGCUAGUUGGUGGGGUAACGGCCUACCAAGGCAACGAUGCAUAGCCGCCCUGGGAGGGGGAUCGGCCACAUCGGGACUGAGACACGGCCCAAACUCCUACGGGAGGCAGCAGUAGGGAAUCUUCCACAAUGGACGAAAGUCUGAUGGAGCAACGCCGCGUGGGUGAUGAAGGUUUUCGGAUCGUAAAACUCUGUUGUAAGGGAAGAACAAGUACGUUAGGAAAUGAACGUACCUUGACGGUACCUUAUUAGAAAGCCACGGCUAACUACGUGCCAGCAGCCGCAGUAA
rnacentral:rRNA from 1 species